AUUGAACGCUGGCGGUAUGCUUAACACAUGCAAGUCGAACGGUAACAUAAGAGAGCUUGCUCUCUUGAUGACGAGUGGCGGACGGGUGAGUAAUAUAUAGGAACCUUCCUCAUAGUUUAGGAUAAGCACUCGAAAGAGUGUCUAAUACUGGAUGUGAACUACGGUUUAAAGCAGGGGAUCUUCGGACCUUGCGCUACGAGAUGGGCCUAUACAAGAUUAGCUAGUUGGUGAGGUAAAUGCUCACCAAGGCGACGAUCUUUAGCUGGGUUUGAGAGGAUGACCAGGCCACACUGGGGACUGAGACACGGGCCCAGACUCCUACGGGGAGGCAGCAGGUGGGGGGAAUCUUGGACAAUGGGGGCAACCCCUGAUCCCAGCAAUACCCGCGUGUGUGAAAGAA
rnacentral:rRNA from 1 species